rnacentral:ncRNA from 1 species
GCAGAGUAGAUGGCCAGGCGUCAAGUGCCGCAGGGACGGGGAGUUGCCGUGCGGACGAAAAACCGGUGGAAAACCGGUUUGCGGUCGGGCUGUCGCAUCCCGCUGU